rnacentral:rRNA from 1 species
UCCAGACUCCUACGGGAGGCAGCAGUGAGGAAUAUUGGUCAAUGGCCGGAAGGCUGAACCAGCCAAGCCGCGUGAAGGACGAAGGUGCCAAGCAUUGUAAACUUCUUUUGUCAAGGGACAAAAUCAGGCUCGAGAGCCUGACCGAGGGUACUUGAAGAAAAAGCAUCGGCUAACUCCGUGCCAGCAGCCGCGGUAAUACGGAGGAUGCGAGCGUUAUCCGGAUUUAUUGGGUUUAAAGGGUGCGUAGGCGGGCUGUUAAGUCGGCGGUAAAAGCCCGGGGCUCACCCCCGGCGAGCCGUUGAAACUGGCUGUCUUGAGAUGUCGAGAGGUAUGCGGAAUGCGCAGUGUAGCGGUGAAAUGCUUAGAUAUCACGCAGAACUCCGAUUGCGAAGGCAGCAUACCGGCGCGCAACUGACGCUCAUGCACGAAAGCGUGGGUAUCGAACAGGAUUAGAUACCCUCGUA